rnacentral:rRNA from 1 species
GACGUAGGGUGCGAGCGUUGUCCGGAUUUAUUGGGCGUAAAGAGCUCGUAGGCGGCUUGUCGCGUCGACCGUGAAAACUUGGGGCUCAACCCCAAGCCUGCGGUCGAUACGGGCAGACUAGAGUUCGGUAGGGGAGACUGGAAUUCCUGGUGUAGCGGUGAAAUGCGCAGAUAUCAGGAGGAACACCGGUGGCGAAGGCGGGUCUCUGGGCCGAAACUGACGCUGAGGAGCGAAAGCGUGGGGAGCAAACAGG